rnacentral:rRNA from 1 species
AGUGAACGCUGGCGGCAUGGAUUAGGCAUGCAAGUCGAGCGGUGAUUCCUGCGCAAGCGGGAUGAUCAGCGGCGAAAGGGUGAGCAACACGUGAGUAACCUGCCCCCGAAUUCGGGAUAGCCCCGGGAAACUGGGAUUAAUACCGAAUGUGGGCCCCGUACGCAUGUUCGGGUGCCUGAAGGCUUCGGCCGUUCGGGGAUGGGCUCGCGUCCCAUCAGCUAGUUGGCGGGGUGACGGCCCACCAAGGCGACGACGGGUAGGUGGUCUGAGAGGAUGGUCACCCACACUGGGACUGAGACACUGCCCAGACUCCUACGGGAGGCUGCAGUCGAGAAUCUUCGGCAAUGGGCGCAAGCCUGACCGAGCGAUGCCGCGUGGGGGAUGAAGGUCUUCGGAUUGUAAACCCCUGUCACCCGGGACGAAGAAUGUGACGGUACCGGGAGAGGAAGCCACGGCUAACUACGUGCCAGCAGCCGCUGUAACAC